rnacentral:rRNA from 1 species
GACGAACGCUGGCGGCGUGCUUAACACAUGCCAGUCGAACGGAAAGGCCUCAGCUUGCUGGGGUACUCGAGUGGCGAACGGGUGAGUAACACGUGGGUGAUCUGCCUUGCACUCUGGGAUAAGCUUGGGAAGCUGGGUCUAAUACCGGAUAUGAACUGCCUUUAGUGUGGUGGUUGGAAAGUUUUUUCGGUGCAAGAUGAGCUCGCGGCCUAUCAGCUUGUUGGUGGGGUAAUGGCCUACCAAGGCGUCGACGGGUAGCCGGCCUGAGAGGGUGUACGGCCACAUUGGGACUGAGAUACGGCCCAGACUCCUACGGGAGGCAGCAGUGGGGAAUAUUGCACAAUGGGCGGAAGCCUGAUGCAGCGACGCCGCGUGGGGGAUGACGGCCUUCGGGUUGUAAACUCCUUUCGACAGGGACGAAGCUUUUUGUGACGGUACCUGUAUAAGAAGCACCGGCUAACUACGUG